UCCUAGAAUUUCAUUUGUAAAAAUACGCAUUCAAUUUGUAUGAUACUGUUUUUAUAUUUUCUGUUUGAUACAGAAAUAAGAAAUGGAAACUUAAAAGCCAUUCUAGGGCUGUUUUUCAGUUUGUCUCGCUACAAACAGCAGCAACACCGUCAACAGCAGUAUUACCAGUCCUUGGUGGAACUUCAGCAACGAGUCACUCACACAUCCCCUCCUUUGGAAGCCAGUCAGGUCAAAACACAGCAAGAUAUGCAGUCCAGAUUCCUCCAAAGGCCCUCCAGCAUCUUCAGGUGUAAAUGGUAACCUGCAGCCUCCCAGCACUGCUGGGCAGCCCCCUGCCUCUGCCAUCCCUUCUCCCAGUGCCAGCAAGCCCUGGCGCAGCAAAUCCAUGAAUGUCAAGCACAGCGCCACCUCUACAAUGCUGACAGUUAAGCAGUCGAGUCCUGCCACCUCUCCCACACCAUCUUCAGACAGACUGAAGCCACCUGUCUCAGAAGGGGUGAAACCUGCUCCCUCAGGACAGAAAUCUAUGCUUGAAAAAUUCAAGCUGGUUAAUGCACGGACUGCUUUACGGCCCCCACAGUCUCCCAGUUCAGGACCCAGUGAUGGUGGGAAGGAUGAUGAUGCCUUUUCUGAAUGUAGUGAAAUGGAAGGUUUUAAUAGUGGUCUGAAUAGUGGUGGUUCAACGAAUAGCAGUCCCAAAGUGUCACCUAAAUUGGUCCCUCCAAAAGCUGGAAGCAAAAAUCUCAGCAAUAAAAAGUCUUUGCUACAGCCAAAGGAAAAAGAGGAAAAGAACAAGGACAAAAGUAAAAUUUGCACUGAAAAACCAGCUAAGGAAGAGAAGGAUCAGGUGACUGAGACAGCCCCCAAAAAGACCUCCAAAAUCGCCAGCUUGAUCCCAAAGGGCAGCAAGACGACAGCAGCCAAGAAGGAAAGUUUAAUUCCCUCUUCCAGUGGGAUUCCAAAACCAGGCUCCAAGGUGCCGACAGCAAAGCAAACCAUUUCACCUGGUACUACAGCAAGCAAAGAGGCUGAAAAAUUCAGGACUACCAAGGGAAGCCCUUCCCAGUCCUCACCCAAGCCCAUAGCCGCCGAGAAAGCAAGCACAUCCAACUGCCCUGCCCCUCUGGAUGGGAGGGAAGCUAGCCACGCUUCUCCCUCCGGUUCCUGCACUGUGUCGGUGCAGAGCAGCAGUCAGAGCACAGGAAACAGUGCCGUCCACCUCCCUCAGCAGCAGCAGCACACUCACCCGAACACGGCCACCGUGGCUCCGUUCAUUUACAGAGCACAUUCAGAAAAUGAAGGGUCCUCUUUACCAUCUGCGGACUCCUGUACCAGUCCUACAAAGAUGGAUUCAUCAUAUAGUAAGACUGCCAAGCAGUGCCUGGAGGAGAUAUCUGGUAAGUGACCUAAUUAAUGGAUAGAUCUAAUGUCAGAAUUUUUGUAAUCAGUCUAAAUCUUUUUGUUAAAUCACACUUACGAUGUACUUUUGCAGCUCUGUACUUUGUCCUAUUGUUUCAGAGAUUCUUAGAUAUAUGGCUAUUAGGUUCAGGAGGUCUCUUUUUGUGCUCUGAAAAGAGUGGUAGUACUUUCAAAAGUUGAUUUUGUAGGUCAUUUUGCCUUUAGUCAAGUUGAAUAUAAUCAAGAAAACCUGGGGAAACUUACUAUUGUCUUUGAAGAUUAAAAAUAUACUAACGAUCAAAUGCUGAUUUAAAUUU
rnacentral:lncRNA from 1 species